rnacentral:lncRNA from 1 species
CUAUGGGGUUAAUGUAAAGUGGCUGUAUAGGGGCCUUAAAAGUAGUCGCUCUAGAGUGCGUAAAAUCUAUAUGUAAUAAGAUUAUGUCGAUGACAAAUGACGUGUUCUAUGUGUAAUAAAAUCUAUCGUGAAAGAGUGAUGCAAUACAGAAAAUAUAUUAGAUGGUGAAAUUACCUGGAGCACCACUGCCUCGCCAGAGCCCUUGAAACACAAGGGCCUAGAGGCAUGUGCUAUAUGAAACAGAUAUCACAGCGGCAUCCUCUAAACAGAGGAGACGCUACGAGUGUGUGGGGCUAAUAACGUGUAAUACAACAUCUUUCAGGAAGCCCAGGACUGCGCUGGAGUCAAACAGCGGUUCUGGGCCUAGUAACAUUACUGGAUGAAGGGGGAUGUGCUGGCGGUAUGCUAAGGGAAAAUGUUUCUUUCUUUCAGAUUCGGCUUUCCGACACUCCAGAAGGACGUGGAGGACGGUCAGCCUCUCCCCGCAUCUACCACAGGUUGGAGGCUCGUUUCCGGUAUCUGUUGUCCACACACUUCUAAGCAGGGAUCCGGAACCAGGCCUGUCUUCCUUGUAAACAAAACACAAGAACUCUUAUGAGGAUUGAUUUUGAAUCCAUUUUUCUCUGCCCACCCUGACACCUUGUUCAAACCAUGCUGUACCUGUCUCUCGCACACUGCGAGGUUACAGGAUUUGAAACCUAUUUGAAUGUCGUCCACAUAGACGGAAUCCAAAAUGGCCGGUGGUAAGGAAGCACGAAGUGUUGUCAUCUUAACAAUAAAGAGUGUGCAACUGAGCACGCCACCCUGGGGUA